AGAGUUUGAUCAUGGCUCAGAUUGAACGCUGGCGGCAUGCCUUACACAUGCAAGUCGAACGGCAGCACGGACUUCGGUCUGGUGGCGAGUGGCGAACGGGUGAGUAAAAUAUCGGAACAUACCCUAGAGUGGGGGAUAACGUAGCGAAAGUUACGCUAAUACCGCAUACGAUCUGAGGAUGAAAGUGGGGGAUCGCAAGACCUCAUGCUCAUGGAGUGGCCGAUAUCUGAUUAGCUAGUUGGUAGGGUAAAAGCCUACCAAGGCGACGAUCAGUAGCUGGUCUGAGAGGACGACCAGCCACACUAGAACUGAGACACGGUCCAGACUCCUACGGGAGGCAGCAGUGGGGAAUUUUGGACAAUGGGGGCAACCCUGAUCCAGCAAUGCCGCGUGAGUGAAGAAGGCCUUCGGGUUGUAAAGCUCUUUUGUCAGGGAAGAAACGGUGUUUCCUAAUACGGAAUGCUAAUGACGGUACCUGAAGAAUAAGCACCGGCUAACUACGUGCCAGCAGCCGCGGUAAUACGUAGGGUGCAAGCGUUAAUCGGAAUUACUGGGCGUAAAGCGUGCGCAGGCGGUUAUAUAAGUCAGAUGUGAAAUCCCCGGGCUCAACCUGGGAACUGCAUUUGAGACUGUAUGGCUAGAGUGUGUCAGAGGGGGGUAGAAUUCCACGUGUAGCAGUGAAAUGCGUAGAUAUGUGGAGGAAUACCGAUGGCGAAGGCAGCCCCCUGGGAUAACACUGACGCUCAUGCACGAAAGCGUGGGGAGCAAACAGGAUUAGAUACCCUGGUAGUCCACGCCCUAAACGAUGUCUACUAGUUGUUGGGUCUUAAUUGACUUAGUAACGCAGC
rnacentral:rRNA from 1 species